AUGUAUCCUGCUAAAGGUUUUGCGUAUGUUGUUUCGCUUGAUGGCCUUUUGGCUGCCACUAAUGCUCUCUCAACUUGUAUGGGUCUAAGUUCGGCUGAGUUAUCAAACUCUGAUGAAUGGAGUUGUGUUAUCUUCUCUCCUACUUGUGUGGAAUGCAAAAUAGCAAGCUGUAUUUUGAUGAAGUAUAAGAGAUUGCCAGAUGGGUGCCAUCCUGAUUUUGAUGGUGAUCAUUUAUGUCCAACCAUUCACCUUUGUACUACUACAAAGCUUGCAGUCAUGUUCCUGUUGAUAGGUUAUCAGCACUAG
rnacentral:rRNA from 1 species